GUGCAUACAUAUGGGACUUGUGAGGAAGGAACAAGGAUACUUUCUUUUGGCAGGUAUUUCUUCUUUCUCUUCCAUGGAGUAUAAUGUUUCUUCAAAGACAUGAAAUCAAAAGCCUCCUGCCAAAGGCGGAUUUGUCUGGUAGUUAGUUUAAUUUUUCUUGAAAAUUUUGCCAUGGGCUAUUUUGAAAAGUACAUUGCUGUUGAGGGUGCAGAGGAACACAUUUGUUUCGCAUGAAUGGCGGCAAAUUCCAGGACUGACUUGUGCACUUCUUGAUGGUUUUCUGGCACUGCUUUUUGAGAGAGAGAGACGUCAUUGUGUGCACACUGAGACGACAUCGUGGACUCCAGCUAUUAAAGAUUUAUUUAACUUGAGAACAUGUUUUGGUUUUGCAGAUGAUUACAGAUGGCAAGGUGGCUGAAUCCUGGCGCAGGAGAUUGUGCAGCGUGAUCCCGAUGAGCUACCUGAUAGACAUGGCAAAACAAAAAUAUCCUUGAUUUCUGCUUGCAUGUUUUGCAGGACUUUUGAGCAAGUAGUGCCUGAAAUAAGAGUCCAUUUCACAGCUCAUCUUUCCUCUGAGAAGCCCUGGUGGAAACAAUCACAUUCCCCAGAAGAAGAUAGCAGCUUGGCUGUUGCUGCUCUUCUGUGUUUGUAUCAGAGGUGUGAAAUUGAAUGCCUGUGA
rnacentral:lncRNA from 1 species